AUCCUGGCUCAGGAUGAACGCUAGCGGGAGGCCUAACACAUGCAAGCCGAGCGGUAUUGUUUCUUCGGAAAUGAGAGAGCGGCGUACGGGUGCGGAACACGUGUGCAACCUGCCUUUAUCUGGGGGAUAGCCUUUCGAAAGGAAGAUUAAUACUCCAUAACAUAUUGAACGGCAUCGUUUAAUAUUGAAAGCUCCGGCGGUGAUAGAUGGGCAUGCGUCUGAUUAGUUAGUUGGCAGGGUAACGGCCUACCAAGACGAUGAUCAGUAGGGGGCGUCAGAGCGUGGUCCCCCACACUGGCACUGAGAUACGGGCCAGACUCCUACGGGAGGCAGCAGUAGGGAAUAUUGGGCAAUGGAUGCAAGUCUGACCCAGCCAUGCCGCGUGCAGGAAGAAGGUCCUCUGGAUUGUAAACUGCUUUUAUCGGGGAAGAAUAGUUUUCUUGCGAGGGAAUGUGACGGUACCCGAUGAAUAAGCCACGGCUAACUACGUG
rnacentral:rRNA from 1 species